UACGGAUGGGGCUAGCGUUGUUCGGAAUUACUGGGCGUAAAGCGUGCGCAGGCGGUUCUAUAAGACAGAUGUGAAAUCCCCGGGCUCAACCUGGGAACUGCAUUUGUGACUGUAGAGCUGGAGUACGGCAGAGGGGGAUGGAAUUCCGCGUGUAGCAGUGAAAUGCGUAGAUAUGCGGAGGAACACCGAUGGCGAAGGCAAUCCCCUGGGCCUGUACUGACGCUCAUGCACGAAAGCGUGGGGAGCAAAUAGG
rnacentral:rRNA from 1 species